CUACGGGUCGCUGCAGUCGAGAAUUUUUCACAAUGGGGGAAACCCUGAUGGAGCGACGCCGCGUGGAGGAUGACGGUUUUCGGAUUGUAAACUCCUGUCAUUAGAGAACAAGGCACACGGUUUAACUGGCCGUGUGUUGAUAGUAUCUGAAGAGGAAGAGACGGCCAACUCUGUGCCAGCAGCCGCGGUAAUACAGAGGUCUCAAGCGUUGUUCGGAUUCAUUGGGCGUAAAGGGUGCGUAGGUGGCGAUGUAAGUCGGAUGUGAAAUCUCCAAGCUUAACUUGGAAACUGCAUUCGAUACUGCGUUGCUCGAGGACUGUAGAGGGCAGUGGAAUUCACGGUGUAGCAGUGAAAUGCGUAGAUAUCGUGAGGAAGACCAGUGGCGAAGGCGAAUGCCUGGGCAGUUCCUGACACUGAGGCACGAAGGCCAGGGGAGCAAACGGGAUUAGAUACCCUUGUAGUC
rnacentral:rRNA from 1 species